GAUGAACGCUAGCGGCAGGCCUAAUACAUGCAAGUCGAAGGGUAGAGGUUGCUUGCAACCUUGAGACCGGCGCACGGGUGCGUAACGCGUAUGCAACCUACCUUUUACAGAGGGAUAGCCCAGAGAAAUUUGGAUUAAUACCUCAUAGUAUAUAACCUUCGCAUGUUGGUUAUAUUAAAGUUUCAACGGUAAAAGAUGGGCAUGCGUCCUAUUAGCUAGAUGGUAAGGUAACGGCUUACCAUGGCAACGAUAGGUAGGGGUCCUGAGAGGGAGAUCCCCCACACUGGUACUGAGACACGGACCAGACUCCUACGGGAGGCAGCAGUGAGGAAUAUUGGACAAUGGGCGCAAGCCUGAUCCAGCCAUGCCGCGUGCAGGAAGAAGCAUCUAUGGUGUGUAAACUGCUUUUGUACAGGAAGAAACACCCCGACGUGUCGGGACUUGACGGUACUGUAAGAAUAAGGAUCGGCUAACUCCGUGCCAGCAGCCGCCGUAAUAC
rnacentral:rRNA from 1 species